rnacentral:rRNA from 1 species
CAGUCGCCGCGGGAAUACGUAGGUCCCGAGCGUUGUCCGGAUUUAUUGGGCGUAAAGCGAGCGCAGGCGGUUUGAUAAGUCUGAAGUUAAAGGCUGUGGCUCAACCAUAGUUCGCUUUGGAAACUGUCAAACUUGAGUGCAGAAGGGGAGAGUGGAAUUCCAUGUGUAGCGGUGAAAUGCGUAGAUAUAUGGAGGAACACCGGUGGCGAAAGCGGCUCUCUGGUCUGUAACUGACGCUGAGGCUCGAAAGCGUGGGGAGCGAACAGGAUUAGAUACCCGUGUAGUCCCUGUCUCUUAUACA